GUGGGGAAUUUUGGACAAUGGGCGAAAGCCUGAUCCAGCCAUGCCGCGUGUGUGAAGAAGGUCUUCGGAUUGUAAAGCACUUUAAGUUGGGAGGAAGGGCAGUAAGUUAAUACCUUGCUGUUUUGACGUUACCGACAGAAUAAGCACCGGCUAACUUCGUGCCAGCAGCCGCGGUAAUACGAAGGGUGCAAGCGUUAAUCGGAAUUACUGGGCGUAAAGCGCGCCUAGGUGGUUUUGUAAGUUGGAGGUGAAAUCCCCGGGCUCAACCUGGGAACUGCCUCCAAAACUGCAUGACUAGAGUACGGUAGAGGGUAGUGGAAUUUCCUGUGUAGCGGUGAAAUGCGUAGAUAUAGGAAGGAACACCAGUGGCGAAGGCGACUACCUGGACUGAUACUGACACUGAGGUGCGAAAGCGUGGGGAGCAAACAGGAUUAGAUACCCGAGUAGUCC
rnacentral:rRNA from 1 species